rnacentral:rRNA from 1 species
UGAACAUACCUCUGGUGUUUCGGUUGUUCCGCCAGGAGCAUUGCCGAGUAGCCAAGUAUGGACGAGAUAAACACUGAAAGCAUAUAAGUGUGAAACUCACCUCAAGAUAAGGUUUCCCCGAAGGGCACUUGUAGACUACGAGUUUGAUAGGUUGGAAGUGGAAGUGCAGUAAUGCAUGCAGCUAACCAAUACUAAUUGCCCGUUCGGCUUGGUCAC